rnacentral:tRNA from 1 species
GGGCGCGUGGUGUAGUCUGGCCUAACACGCCACCCUGUCACGGUGGAGACCGCCGGUUCGAAUCCGGUCGCGCCCGCCA